GACAUAAAAGGCGGUGAGGCUACCGCCGAUCGACCGGUGUUUGCUAACGCGGAGGUCAAUCGUGGAUGAGGAAAAGCGAAGGCAGGAGCGUGAGGUGAACUGAAUUUCAGGCGUUAACUACAGCAGUCUUUAAUACCUCAACUCUUGCUUCAGCCAAGGUAAGUGUCCCCUUAUAUUUUCUGUGUGUGUUCAGGUGAUAUCUAGAAAAUAGAGCUGUUGUUUGUAAUUAAAACUUUUAAGAUUAGAUGGUACAGUGUUUUUACUCUCUUCCAAACAGUAAAGUUCCUCUUUGUCUCUCAGUAGGAAAUCUAAACCAGACAGUACAAGGGUACAUUUCAGCGUUACAAGCCAAUCAGUUUGCUAAUUGUUCUGUGAGAUUUGUUUGCAAAGUUUAAGGUGUUAAAGCAGGAGCUGGCAUUCUGCCAGAGCCUCAGCAACAAGACCGCCUCCCAGCAACGAGACUGCCUGUCAGCCUUGCAAGGUACCCAAUUUUCCAAUUACUCUAUAACAAAACUGUUGUGGGCAACAAGACUGUCUCCUAUGUUUGCAAGCCAAUCACUUUGUUCUUGUAAGAUUUGUUUGAAAAGUUUGAGGUGGUAACUGUGAGCUGUGAACAUCCGGGUUUGCU
ensembl:lncRNA